rnacentral:piRNA from 1 species
UGGUGAAUGGCAUUCGGAGUUUGUCACAACA